UUUUAGCUGAUCUGAACUCCGAAUAUGAUCAAUUACGGGUGCAAGUGUUUGGUAAGGAUCUUUUUUCUUCAUUAGAACAAACUUAUGCUUAUGUUCAGAAAGAAAAGAGUAGAAGAAAUGUCAUAUUUCACAUUGCACCAGUUGAGAAGGCUGGAUUAGUGGCUCAGUUUGAUCUAUCCAGAGAUAUAUGGAAGUGUGACUAUUGUGAUAAGCCAAGACACACAAGGAAAACUUGUUGGAAGUUGCAUGUAAAACUAAUUAGAGGUCGGGGAGGAAGAAAAGAUGGAACCACAAGAGCUCAAGCAAAUUUUGUUGAAGUUAGGGAAACACCUGCUUCACCAUCCGUUAGAGCCUUUUCCACAUAAGAAAUUCAAAAUCUGAAGCAACUUCUGAGUCAACUUAAUUCUUCAUCAACUGUUGGCAUAUCAAAUAUGGUAAAAUCAGAUAUUGCUCAUCCUAUUUUCACUCCUGAUAAUUGGAUUAUAGAUUCUGGAGCUAACAGACAUAUGACAAACUAUUCUAAAGAAUUCUUAACCUAUUCUUGUUGUACUGAAGGGGAUAAUGUCCGUAUAGCAGAUGAGUCAUACACUCCCGUGUCGGGAACAGGAUCUUUAAAUCGGGAAGAGGAUUGACACUAGUAAGCUGUAAGAUGGUUUAUAUGUUUUGAAUAGACAUCUGAAUUUAAUUGGAAAUCAAGCAACCACUGGGAAUAAAGAAGUCAAUAUGGAGAUACUACAAUGGCACCGAUGAUUGGAACAACUUUCCUUUUUUAUUUUAGAAAAAUUAUAUUUUAAGUUAUUUAAAAGAACUUUUAAUAGAAGUACUGAUAUUUUUAUGAC